rnacentral:lncRNA from 1 species
CACCUGGGACACACCUGAGCACACCUGGGACACACCUGAGCACACCUGGGGACACCUGAGAUACACCUGGGCACACCUAGGCACAUGUGGGACACACCUGGGCACACCUGGGACACACCUGGGCACACCUGGCCAUGCAGAUGUUGGAUUUUUCCCGCCAUUCCCGGUUUUUUUCUCACCUUUUCCCGUUUUUCCCGUUUUUCUCCCCAAACCGCAGCCGGAUUUCGUCGGCAUCAUCUGCACCCGCCUGAGCCCCAAGAGACUGAUCGAGAAAUGGGUGGACUUCGCCAGGGCGACGAUGGAGUCGCACCUGGACACUCCGUACAACGUCCCCGACAUCGUGGUGACGAUCGCCAACAACGACAUCGACCUCGUCAUCCGGAUUUCGGACCGGGGGGGAGGAAUUCCCCACGAUUUGCUGGACAAGGUCACCGAGUACCAUUUCAGCACGGCCGAGGCGAGCGCGCAGGACCCGCGCCUGGGGGGGCCCUUCCGGGGCCUGAUGGAGCCCAACGGGCAGGCGGGGCCCAUGCACGGGUUCGGCUUCGGGCUGCCCACGUCCCGCGCCUACGCCGAGUACCUGGGCGGGUCCCUGGCGCUGCAGUCGCUGCAGGGCGUCGGCACCGACGUCUACCUGAGGCUGCGGCACAUCGACGGCAAGGCCGAGAGCUUCCGCAUCUAGGGGGGCUCGGGGGACCCCGGAAUCCCGGGAUCGGGGCGGGGAGAGCCGGGAGAACCUUCCAGAGUUGGGGUUUGGGUCAUCAGAACCGUGGAGAACCUUCCAGAGUCGGGGUUUGGGUCAUGGAGAACCUUCUAGAAUUGGGGUUGGGUCAUCAGAACCGUGGAGAACCUUCUAGAAUUGGGGUUGGGUCAUCAGAACCAUGGAGAACCUUCCAGAAUUGUGUUUUGGGCCAUGGAGAACCUUCCAGAGUUGGGUUUGGGUCAUCAAAACCAAGAAGAACGUUCCAGAGUUGGGUUUGGGUCAUGAAGAACCUCCCAAAGUUGGGUUUUGGUCAUCAAAACCGUAAAGAACCGCCCAGAUUUAGGGUUUGGGUCAUCAGAACCAAGAAGAACCUUCCAGAAUUGUGUUUUGGGUCAUCAGAACCAUGGAGAACCUUCCAGAAUUGUGUUUUGGGCCAUGGAGAACCUUCCAGAGUUGGGUUUGGGUCAUGGAGAACAUUCCAGAAUUGGGUUUGGGUCAUCAGAACCAAGAAGAAC